rnacentral:rRNA from 1 species
GACGAACGCUGGCGGCGUGCUUAACACAUGCAAGUCGAACGGAAAGGCCCUGCUUUUGUGGGGUGCUCGAGUGGCGAACGGGUGAGUAACACGUGAGUAACCUGCCCUUGACUUUGGGAUAACUUCAGGAAACUGGGGCUAAUACCGGAUAGGAGCUCCUGCUGCAUGGUGGGGGUUGGAAAGUUUCGGCGGGUGGGGAUGGACUCGCGGCUUAUCAGCUUGCUGGUUGGGGAGUGGCUUACCAAGGCUUUGACGGGUAGCCGGCCUGAGAGGGUGACCGGCCACAUGGGGCCUGCGGUACGGCCCAGACUCCUACGGGAGGCAGCAGUGGGGAGUAUGGCCCAAUGAGCGGAAGCCUGAGGCAGAAACGCCGCGUGCGGGAUGACGGCCUUUGGGUUGUAAACCGCUGUCGCCUGUGACGAAGCGUGAGUGACGGUAAUGGGUAAAGAAGCACCGGCUAACUACGUG